CCUACGGGUGGCAGCAGUGAGGAAUAUUGGUCAAUGGGCGCGAGCCUGAACCAGCCAAGUAGCGUGAAGGAUGACUGCCCUACGGGUUGUAAACUUCUUUUAUAAAGUAAUAAAGUGAGGCACGUGUGCCUUUUUUUAUGUACUUUAUUAAUAAAGAUCGGCUAACUCCGCGCCAGCAGCCGCGGUAAUACGGAGGAUCCGAGCGUUCUCCGGAUUUAUUGGGUUUAAAGGAAGCGUAGAUGGGUUGUUAAGUCAGUUGUGAAAGUUUGCGGCUCAACCGUAAAAGUGAAAUUGUUACUGGCAGACUUGAGUACAGAUGAGGUAGGCGGAAUUCGUGGUGUAGCGGUGAAAUGAUUAGAUAGCACGAAGAACUCCGAUUGCGAAGGCAGCCUACUAAACUGCCACUGACAUUGAUGCUCGAAAGUGUGGGUAUCAAACAGGAUUAGAUACCCGAGUAGUC
rnacentral:rRNA from 1 species